AAGGACACAGACCACAUGGAGGGGGGACAGAGGGCCACAGCCACCCUAGAGCUGUGUCGUGCUUGACCUUGACAGUCUUGGACAAAAAUCGAGUUAGUGGCUACCUAUAAAAACCAUGAGGUGUCACAUAAAAAAAUCUGAGUCUGUCUAAACACCAUGAAUGCUGCAGCACUGGGCCUACGUUCCAGCCCAGAGCAGUCGGUUGGGGGCGACAAGCCGCUGUCCCUCUGGCCAAGUGUGUGUCCUCUGGGCCGCUGUGGCCUCUCCCCUUCCCUGCCUCCCUUCCCUCAAGCUUCCUGUCCAGCCCCAUGGGCACCGGUGUUUGCCACGCCCAUUUAAACUGGACAGGUCUUCCUCGGGAGUCUGACUCUGUAAGAAAAAGCUUUCUGACCUCGGGCACUGGCUGAGCCUCCCUGAGACUGAUUUGCUGCUUCUACAAAGUGGGGGUAAUUAUCCCCACCUCACAGGACCUUCGUAAGGAUCAGGCGGGGUGGGUGUGAAUUAAGUGACUGUUACAUAAUAGGAUAAUUGUACUGUGACGCUGUUCAUGGCCCUGUGGCUAGGUCCCUUGUCCCUAUCCUGUCCCCUCAGGUGCCCUGCGUCAUUCCAGCAGCUGCAGAAGUCUCAUCUCUUCCAGAAAGUCUCCCCAGGUCGUCGGUUUUUAGAGAAGAAUGGAGCUCAGGACAGCUGCAUGGAAGUGGUGCAUCGGGCAAGGUAUGUGGGAAGGAGCACAAAGCUCCCAUGUCCUCUCUCUCUUGGGGCGCGCCACCCUUCUUGCAUUUCCAUGGGUUCACCAACCCAGAACUUCUGCAAAAAUGGUCUUUGCAGAAGUAAUCAAGCUAAGAUGGAAGUCAUACUAGAUUCGGGUGAACCCUACAUCCUAGGCUUUGGGCUCCUCGUAAGCAGAGAAGAGGACACACAGGGACACACUGAGAAGGCCCUGUGAUGCUGGAGACAGAGACCAGAGUAAUGCAGGAUCAAGCCAAGGAGCACCAAGGAUGCCGGCCGCACCAGAAGCCAGGGGAGAGGCGUGGGACACAUUCUCCCUUGAAAGGGACCAAUCCUGCCAGCACCUUGAUUUCUGAUUUCUGGCUUCCAGAACUGAGUGAAAAAACAUUUCUGUUGUUUUAAGCCACCUAGCUUGUGCUCAUUUGCUGUGACAGCCCUGGGUCACUCCUAUACCUGCCACUUGGGGCCAGGACAGGAUGCUCAGAGUUCCUUCCACCACCCCAUUCAAAUGAGCAGGCUCUAUGGCCAGGCCCACUCUGCCUGCCCUGAACCUGGGCUGCAUUUCCAGUGACAUGAACCUGACUCUGGCUGCCCACCAAGGGUGCCACAGCGUCUCCCCAGCAUACACUUUGUAUCAUCUGGCUGGGCUGUUGAGCUCUAUGGCUG
rnacentral:lncRNA from 1 species